rnacentral:tRNA from 1 species
GGCCCUGUGGUCUAGCGGCUAUGACGCCACCCUCACAUGGUGGAGAUCAAGGGUUCAAAUCCCUUCAGGGCCA